AUAAUGGGUCAGCGACUUAUAUUCUGUAGCAAGGUUAACCGAAUAGGGGAGCCGAAGGGAAACCGAGUCUUAACUGGGCGUUAAGUUGCAGGGUAUAGACCCGAAACCCGGUGAUCUAGCCAUGGGCAGGUUGAAGGUUGGGUAACACUAACUGGAGGACCGAACCGACUAAUGUUGAAAAAUUAGCGGAUGACUUGUGGCUGGGGGUGAAAGGCCAAUCAAACCGGGAGAUAGCUGGUUCUCCCCGAAAGCUAUUUAGGUAGCGCCUCGUGAAUUCAUCUCCGGGGGUAGAGCACUGUUUCGGCAAGGGGGUCAUCCCGACUUACCAACCCGAUGCAAACUGCGAAUACCGGAGAAUGUUAUCACGGGAGACACACGGCGGGUGCUAACGUCCGUCGUGAAGAGGGAAACAACCCAGACCGCCAGCUAAGGUCCCAAAGUCAUGGUUAAGUGGGAAACGAUGUGGGAAGGCCCAGACAGCCAGGAUGUUGGCUUAGAAGCAGCCAUCAUUUAAAGAAAGCGUAAUAGCUCACUGGUCGAGUCGGCCUGCGCGGAAGACGUAACGGGGCUAAACCAUGCACCGAAGCUGCGGCAGCGACGCUGAUGCGUUGUUGGGUAGGGGAGCGUUCUGUAAGCCUGUGAAGGUG
rnacentral:rRNA from 1 species